rnacentral:rRNA from 1 species
GAUGAACGCUGGCGGCGUGCCUAAUACAUGCAAGUCGAGCGAACAGACGAGGAGCUUGCUCCUCUGACGUUAGCGGCGGACGGGUGAGUAACACGUGGAUAACCUACCUAUAAGACUGGGAUAACUUCGGGAAACCGGAGCUAAUACCGGAUAAUAUAUUGAACCGCAUGGUUCAAUAGUGAAAGACGGUUUUGCUGUCACUUAUAGAUGGAUCCGCGCCGCAUUAGCUAGUUGGUAAGGUAACGGCUUACCAAGGCAACGAUGCGUAGCCGACCUGAGAGGGCGAUCGGCCACACUGGAACUGGGACACGGUCCAGACUCCUACGGGAGGCAGCAGUAGGGAAUCUUCCGCAAUGGGCGAAAGCCUGACGGAGCAACGCCGCGUGAGUGAUGAAGGUCUUCGGAUCGUAAAACUCUGUUAUUAGGGAAGAACAAAUGUGUAAGUAACUAUGCACGUCUUGACGGUACCUAAUCAGAAAGCCACGGCUAACUACGUG